GUCUCUCAGCUGGUGUGAGGUUGGGCCAGGAUGAAACCCAAGGCUCUCCGAGGCUCCCCACCACACCCUGCUGCUGAAGACU
ensembl:miRNA